GUCUCUUUGAAAACAUCCGAUAAAAUUGGAAUGAUAUAGAGAAGGUUAGCAUAGCCCCUGCAUAAGGAUGACACGUACAAAUUGAGAAAUAGUCCAAAUUUUU